AGAGGAGGCCAGCCCUGGAUUCGAUUCCCAGUUCCUCACAUUCAUUGAUCUGCACUGAACACAGACCCCUCACCAUGAACUUUGGGCUCAGAUUGAUUUUCUUUGUCCUUAUUUUAAAAGGUGCUCAGUGUGAAGUGAAGCUGGUGGAGUCUGGGGGAGGCUUGGUGAAGCCUGGAGGGUCCCUGAAACUCUCCUGUGAAGCCUCUGGAUUCACUUUCAGUAGCUAUUCCAUGGAUUGGUUUCGCCAGACUCCGGAGAAGAGGCUGGAGUGGAUUGCAUACAUUAAUAGUGGCAGUAGUAAUAUGCAAUAUGCAGACUCAGUGAAGGGCCGAUUCACCAUCUCCAGAGACAAUGCCAAGAACACACUGUUCUUACAAAUGAGCAGUCUGAAGUCUGAGGACACGGCCAUGUGUUACUGUGCAAGAGACACAGUGAGCAAAUGUUACUGUGAGCUCAAACACAAACCUCCUCCAGGGCACUCAGGGCCAGCAGGGGGCGUGGAGAGCACACAGAGCUCUGGUUCACAGAAGGUUGUACCCAACCUUCAAUCCACCUUCAAAAUAUCCGAUCUAAAUUGA